rnacentral:rRNA from 1 species
UACGGAGGGUGCAAGCGUUAAUCGGAAUUACUGGGCGUAAAGCGUGCGUAGGCGGUUAGUUAAGUCUGUCGUGAAAGCCCCGGGCUCAACCUGGGAAUGGCGAUGGAUACUGGCAAGCUGGAGUGUGUCAGAGGAUGGCGGAAUUCCCGGUGUAGCGGUGAAAUGCGUAGAGAUCGGGAGGAACAUCAGUGGCGAAGGCGGCCAUCUGGGACAACACUGACGCUGAGGCACGAAAGCGUGGGGAGCAAACAGG